GAUGAACGCUAGCGGCAGGCUUAAUACAUGCAAGUCAAGGGGUGCAAUACAACCGGCGCACGGGUGAGUAACGCGUACACAACAUACCAUAUACUGGAGUAUAGCUUUGGGAAACUAGAAGGUAAUCCUCCAUAACAUUGCGAGAGGGCAUCUGAUUGCAAUUAAAGUUUCGGCGGUAUAUGAUUGGUGUGCGCUUGAUUAGCUAGUUGGUAGGGUAACGGCCUACCAAGGCGACGAUCAAUAGCUGGCGUGAGAGCGCGACCAGCCACACUGGAACUGAGACACGGUCCAGACUCCUACGGGAGGCAGCAGUAGGGAAUAUUGGACAAUGGAGGAAACUCUGAUCCAGCCAUGCCGCGUGAUAGAUGAAGGCCCUCUGGGUUGUAAAUAUCUUUUAUCUGGGAAGAAACACUCCUAUUCUUAGGAACUUGACGGUACCAGAGGGAAUAAGCACCGGCUAACUCCGUGCCAGCAGCCGUCGGUAAAG
rnacentral:rRNA from 1 species